rnacentral:lncRNA from 1 species
GAAAUGUCUUCCCUGCUUCUUUAAUGAAACUUUGGACGAUUUUCAUAAGGAAGAAAAGUUCAGAUGAGCGUUAUGACAGACCCGCAAGUGACAUGGAAGAGUAGUGGUGACAGAGUCCAGAGCUUAUGUUCGGAAGGUAACAGUGACUGUGUUACUGAAUCCAAGCUUGGUCUGCUUGCUGUGCAUGAGUGCUGUGUGCUAAGUCUCUUCAGCUGUGGCCGACCCUUCAGAACCCUGUGGACUAUAGCCCGCCAGGCUACUCUGUCUGUGGAAUUUUCCAGGUGAGAAUACUGGAGUGGGUUACCCUGCCCUCC